rnacentral:rRNA from 1 species
GAUGAACGCUGGCGGCGUGCCUAAUACAUGCAAGUCGAGCGAACAGAUGAGGAGCUUGCUCCUCUGACGUUAGCGGCGGACGGGUGAGUAACACGUGGAUAACCUACCUAUAAGACUGGGAUAACUUCGGGAAACCGGAGCUAAUACCGGAUAAUAUAUUGAACCGCAUGGUUCAAUAGUGAAAGACGGUUUUGCUGUCACUUAUAGAUGGGUCCGCGCCGCAUUAGCUAGUUGGUAAGGUAACGGCUUACCAAGGCAACGAUGCGUAGCCGACCUGAGAGGGUGAUCGGCCACACUGGAACUGAGACACGGUCCAGACUCCUACGGGAGGCAGCAGUAGGGAAUCUUCCGCAAUGGGCGAAAGCUUGACGGAGCAACGCCGCGUGAGUGAUGAAGGUCUUCGAAUCGUAAAACUCUGUUAUUAGGGAAGAACAAAUGUGUAAGUAACUAUGCACGUCUUGACGGUACCUAAUCAGAAAGCCACGGCUAACUACGUG